rnacentral:rRNA from 1 species
GAUUUGGGCACUGUCUCAACGAGAGACUCGGUGAAAUCAUAGUACCUGUGAAGAUGCAGGUUACCCGCGACAGGACGGAAAGACCCCGUGGAGCUUUACUGUAGCCUGAUAUUGAAAUUCGGCACAGCUUGUACAGGAUAGGUAGGAGCCUUUGAAACGUGAGCGCUAGCUUACGUGGAGGCGCUGGUGGGAUACUACCCUAGCUGUGUUGGCUUUCUAACCCGCACCACUUAUCGUGGUGGGAGACAGUGUCAGGCGGGCAGUUUGACUGGGGCGGUCGCCUCCUAAAAGGUAACGGAGGCGCUCAAAGGUUCCCUCAGAAUGGUUGGAAAUCAUUCAUAGAGUGUAAAGGCAUAAGGGAGCUUGACUGCGAGACCUACAAGUCGAGCAGGGUCGAAAGACGGACUUAGUGAUCCGGUGGUUCCGCAUGGAAGGGCCAUCGCUCAACGGAUAAAAGCUACCCCGGGGAUAACAGGCUUAUCUCCCCCAAGAGUUCACAUCGACGGGGAGGUUUGGCACCUCGAUGUCGGCUCAUCGCAUCCUGGGGCUGUAGUCGGUCCCAAGGGUUGGGCUGUUCGCCCAUUAAAGCGGUACGCGAGCUGGGUUCAGAACGUCGUGAGACAGUUCGGUCCCUAUCCGUCGUGGGCGUAGGAAAUUUGAGAGGAGCUGUCCUUAGUACGAGAGGACCGGGAUGGACAUACCUCUGGUGUACCAGUUGUCGUGCCAACGGCAUAGCUGGGUAGCUAUGUGUGGACGGGAUAAGUGCUGAAAGCAUCUAAGCAUGAAGCCCCCCUCAAGAUGAGAUUUCCCAACUUCGGUUAUAAGAUCCCUCAAAGAUGAUGAGGUUAAUAGGUUCGAGGUGGAAGCAUGGUGACAUGUGGAGCUGACGAAUACUAAUCGAUCGAAGACUUAAUCAA